GCUCGACACUACUGUGCCAUCAAUGCCACAGUGCCAGUACUGCAGCGGUACUAUGGAGGGGAGGACACUCGGCCAGACUUCAGGCUGGGCAGAGAGGCCAUACAGCAGCUGAUGGUGGCCCUGAAACUGACAGGCAGCAUGGAUGGGGCCCGGCCCUGGAGACACUCGUGUUCCUGUUCUGGCUGGCAACCAGUUCAGCCUACAGAGUUGUCUCAAGGGUCUUCAGCAUGCCUCUUCCCACAGUGCACAGGGUUGUACACAAGAUGGUGGAUGAGGUGGUGGCUGUGCUCCCCCAAUUUGUGCACUUCCCUCGCACACCGGUGGCCCUGAUGGUCAUGAUUAUAAUAACCGAAAGCUCUUCCCUUCAGUGGUGCUCCAGGCAGUCUGUGACCAUCAGGGUCGCUUCAUUGACAUCUUUGUGGGUUACCCAGGAAGUGUGCAUGAUGCACGCAUCCUUAAGAACAGCCCCAUCUACACUGGGGGACUUACCCUCCGCCUGGGUAUUUUCUCCUAGCUGACGGUGGCUACCCAUGUCUACAGGAACCCCUGGCCCUUAUCACACCAUAUAAGAGGCCAGUGAGAGGCAUGGCAGAGCAAAGGUUGAACUACCAUCAUUCCAAAGGUCGCACAAUCAUUGAGCGUGCAUUUGGAAUAAUGAAAACCCGCUUCAGGUGCAUCUUUUUAGAAGCACUUGAAGUACAUUCACUGUUCGUCCCUAAGGUGGUGACAGCAUGUGUAAUCCUGCACAACAUUUGUGUUGGUGUCGGAGAUGUGCUGGAAGAGGUUGUGGAGGAGGAGGACAACCAGCCACCUGGGGAGCUUGAUGGUGGGGAGAGCCGAAGUGGAGCUGCUUGGCGGGCUGCGCUGACCAAAGAGGUGUCUGCACUCCACCAGGCACCUCUUGACCAUGACUAUUUUUGCCAGCCUUGA
rnacentral:lncRNA from 1 species